UCUGCCCUGAGAGGCAUCAGGUGUGGCUGCUGCUGUGUCACGUGUGCAGCAGUAGAUGGCAGAGAAGAGGCUUUGUUUGCCCUCAGUGAUCUGAUCUAUAAACAUCUGAAUGAUUUGUGGCCUACCUUU